rnacentral:lncRNA from 1 species
CAGUGAUGUAUAGGAAGAGAAGAGUUGCUACAAACUCAGCUAUGACAGCUCUGUACAAAGACCACUUUGUUAACUCAUCUAAAUCAAACAAAGGUGCUGGUGGUGGAUCUUGGUAAUCCUUAGCUGAAAAUUCACCACCUUGUUCUUGAACCUCAACAUCUUUGCCCAUGUUUGUGUUCUUGUGUUUGUGCCAAGAGGUGGUGGGUGUGUGUUACUUAAUUGAAGUGUACUAUUUUUGUGUGGAUUGAUGAAUGAGUAGAAAUAUGGUAUUUAAGGAAUCAAAUGUGCCAAUCAAAU